rnacentral:rRNA from 1 species
UACGGAGGGGGCUAGCGUUGUUCGGAAUUACUGGGCGUAAAGCGCACGUAGGCGGCUUUGCAAGUUAGAGGUGAAAGCCCGGGGCUCAACUCCGGAAUUGCCUUUAAAACUGCAUCGCUAGAAUCGUGGAGAGGUGAGUGGAAUUCCGAGUGUAGAGGUGAAAUCCGUAGAUAUGCGGAAGAACACCAGUGGCGAAGGCGACUCACUGGACACGUAUUGACGCUGAGGUGCGAAAGCGUGGGGAGCAAACAGG